rnacentral:rRNA from 1 species
UCCUGGCUCAGAUUGAACGCUAGCGGGAUGCUUUACACACGCAAGUCGAACGGCAGCACGAGAGAGCUUGCUCUCUUGGUGGCGAGUGGCGGACGGGUGAGUAAUAUAUCGGAACGUGCCUAGUAGCGGGGGAUAACUACUCGAAAGAGUGGCUAAUACCGCAUACGCCCUACGGGGGAAAGGGGGGGAUCGCAAGACCUCUCACUAUUAGAGCGGCCGAUAUCGGAUUAGCUAGUUGGUGGGGUAAAGGCUCACCAAGGCAACGAUCCGUAGCUGGUUUGAGAGGACGACCAGCCACACUGGGACUGAGACACGGCCCAGACUCCUACGGGAGGCAGCAGUGGGGAAUUUUGGACAAUGGGGGAAACCCUGAUCCAGCCAUCCCGCGUGUAUGAUGAAGGCCUUCGGGUUGUAAAGUACUUUUGGCAGAGAAGAAAAGGUACCUCCUAAUACGAGGUACUGCUGACGGUAUCUGCAGAAUAAGCACCGGCUAACUACGUGCCAGCAGCCGCGGUAAUACGUAGGGUGCAAGCGUUAAUCGGAAUUACUGGGCGUAAAGCGUGUGUAGGCGGUUCGGAAAGAAAGAUGUGAAAUCCCAGGGCUCAACCUUGGAACUGCAUUUUUAACUGCCGAGCUAGAGUAUGUCAGAGGGGGGUAGAAUUCCACGUGUAGCAGUGAAAUGCGUAGAUAUGUGGAGGAAUACCGAUGGCGAAGGCAGCCCCCUGGGAUAAUACUGACGCUCAGACACGAAAGCGUGGGGAGCAAACAGGAUUAGAUACCCUGGUAGUCCACGCCCUAGACGAUGUCAACUAGCUGUUGGGGCCGUUAGGCCUUAGUAGCGCAGCUAACGCGUGAAGUUGACCGCCUGGGGAGUACGGUCGCAAGAUUAAAACUCAAAGGAAUUGACGGGGACCCGCACAAGCGGUGGAUGAUGUGGAUUAAUUCGAUGCAACGCGAAAAACCUUACCUACCCUUGACAUGUCUGGAAUCCCGAAGAGAUUUGGGAGUGCUCGCAAGAGAACCGGAACACAGGUGCUGCAUGGCUGUCGUCAGCUCGUGUCGUGAGAUGUUGGGUUAAGUCCCGCAACGAGCGCAACCCUUGUCAUUAGUUGCUACGCAAGAGCACUCUAAUGAGACUGCCGGUGACAAACCGGAGGAAGGUGGGGAUGACGUCAAGUCCUCAUGGCCCUUAUGGGUAGGGCUUCACACGUCAUACAAUGGUCGGGACAGAGGGUCGCCAACCCGCGAGGGGGAGCCAAUCUCAGAAACCCGAUCGUAGUCCGGAUCGCAGUCUGCAACUCGACUGCGUGAAGUCGGAAUCGCUAGUAAUCGCGGAUCAGAAUGUCGCGGUGAAUACGUUCCCGGGUCUUGUACACACCGCCCGUCACACCAUGGGAGUGGGUUUCACCAGAAGUAGGUAGCCUAACCGCAAGGAGGGCGCUUACCACGGUGGGAUUCAUGACUGGGGUGAAGUCGUAACAAGGUAGCCGUAA